CCUGUGUUUCGGUGACUCCGCUCUUGCGACCCCAGCUCACUGAAACAGGGUUGGAUCAUCUAGUUUCUGAUUCAGCUUGAUCAUUUGUGAAACGACUACUGAGCAGAAAUAUGAAGGAUAGAAGUGGAAUCCAGCAGCUAACAACCACAAGGUACAUACAAUCUAAGACUAAAACUGUGGGGCAGGGCAAGUGAGUUUCCUGGUGCAGCCUGGAUUGCAAAAAGAUUGAAAUUGUCUCAAUUCCUUAUUUAUGAAAUAGAGUAUAAUCACUGUGUUGCAAAGUAUGCCUGACAAAUAGUAUCUGGUGAAUAAAUCUUUAUUCUCAUUCUCAACAGUUUAA